rnacentral:ncRNA from 1 species
GCAGAGUAGGAAUGAAAGCGUCAGGAGGAAUUCCUCCGAUAGUGCCCAUUGAACAGGGAGUUGUCAGUGGGACGAAUAGCAGAAGCUUACGAUUUUGAUUCCGCAUCCCGCUGC